AAAAAUAUAAAAUAUAAUAAUAUAAAAAAAUGGACAAAAACAUGGCGAAGAAAGGUUGUACUAGAGUGGAGGCGAUUGAUUUGAUCUUUGAUGACACCUGGGAAGAGGCUGAGCAUGACUUCGGACCCGGAGUUUGUGUAUUCAGACGUUGAGGAGGCAUAUGCUGCUGGCAUUGAUCCAGACGUGGAUUGAUGCCGAAGACAGUAACUACAUCAGGGGAAUCACAGGAGAUUUCAGCGACCAUAGAAUCACCGGUACAGAGCUGAUGAUCAGCGGUCCUGAGGGCAGCAGAGCAAAGACACAGUUACCUACGAAGAACCAAAUGGGCCAUCCACAUCGAACACAACACCAUCUCAGAGGGGCCGUGGUUGCAGCUGUAGCUGUAAAAUAAGUACAUGGCAGGAGUUGACACCUCCAACAAGAUACUCAGAACAAAGUCGGUGCACCAUAAAACACGGAAGUGGUACAUAACAAUUUUCCAGCACUUCCUGGACAUUGCAGUGACCAACUGCUUAAUUUUACACAAAGCGUUGUGUGUCAUCCACCAUGACAAGCACAUGACACGGCAAAACUUUCAGGAGCAGCUAGCUGCUCAGCUCACAGCUAGCUGCUCAGCG
ensembl:lncRNA